UACGUAGGUGGCAAGCGUUGUCCGGAAUUAUUGGGCGUAAAGAGCUCGUAGGCGGUUUGUCGCGUCUGCUGUGAAAGCCCGGGGCUCAACCCCGGGUCUGCAGUGGGUACGGGCAGACUUGAGUGAUGUAGGGGAGACUGGAAUUCCUGGUGUAGCGGUGGAAUGCGCAGAUAUCGGAAGGAACACCGAUGGCGAAGGCAGCCAUCUGGCCUAAUACUGACGCUGAGGUACGAAAGCAUGGGGAGCAAACAGG
rnacentral:misc_RNA from 1 species